GACGAACGCUGGCGGCGUGCUUAACACAUGCAAGUCGAACGGAAAGGCCCUGCUUUUGUGGGGUGCUCGAGUGGCGAACGGGUGAGUAACACGUGAGUAACCUGCCCUUGACUUUGGGAUAACUUCAGGAAACUGGGGCUAAUACCGGAUAGGAGCUCCUGCUGCAUGGUGGGGGUUGGAAAGUUUCGGCGGUUGGGGAUGGACUCGCGGCUUAUCAGCUUGUUGGUGGGUUAGUGGCUUACCAAGCUUUGACGGGUAGCCGGCCUGAGAGGGUGACCGGCCACAUUGGGACUGAGAUACGGCCCAGACUCCUACGGGAGGCAGCAGUGGGGAAUAUUGCACAAUGGGCGGAAGCCUGAUGCAGCAACGCCGCGUGCGGGAUGACGGCCUUCGGGUUGUAAACCGCUUUCGCCUGUGACGAAGCGUGAGUGACGGUAAUGGGUAAAGAAGCACCGGCUAACUACGUG
rnacentral:rRNA from 1 species